UACAGAGGGUGCGAGCGUUAAUCGGAAUUACUGGGCGUAAAGCGUGCGUAGACGGCUAUCUAAGUCGGGUGUGAAAGCCCCGGGCUCAACCUGGGAAUUGCAUUCGAGACUGAAUAGCUAGGGUGCGGUAGAGGGAAGCGGAAUUUCCGGUGUAGCGGUGAAAUGCGUAGAUAUCGGAAGGAACAUCAGUGGCGAAAGCGGACUUCC
rnacentral:rRNA from 1 species